rnacentral:rRNA from 1 species
GACGAACGCUGGCGGCGUGCUUAACACAUGCAAGUCGAGCGGUAAGGCCCUUUCGGGGGUACACGAGCGGCGAACGGGUGAGUAACACGUGGGUGACCUGCCCUCAGCUCUGGGAUAAGCCUGGGGAAACUGGGUCUAAUACUGGAUAUGACUCCACGGUGCAUGUCGUGGGGUGGAAAGCCUUGUGCGGCUGAGGAUGGGCCCGCGGCCUAUCAGCUUGUUGGUGGGGUGANGGCCUACCAAGGCGACGACGGGUAGCCGGCCUGAGAGGGCGACCGGCCACACUGGGACUGAGACACGGCCCAGACUCCUACGGGAGGCAGCGGUGGGGAAUUGUUCGCAAUGGGCGCAAGCCUGACGACGCAACGCCGCGUGGAGGAUGAAGGUCUUCGGAUUGUAAACUCCUGUUGCUCGGGACGAAAUGCUCCAGCCUAACACGUUGGAGUUUGACGGUACCGGGUGAGGAAGCCCGGC